GGUCAGGACGAACGCUGGCGGCGUGCUUAACACAUGCAAGUCGAACGAGGAUAUUUCCGGAGAGCUUCGGCAGGAAGGGAUAUUCGAGUGGCGACGGGUGAGUAACGCGUGAACAAUCUGUCCCAGACAGGGGGAUAACACUUGGAAACAGGUGCUAAUACCGCAUAAGACCACGGAUGGGCAUCCAUAAGGGGUAAAAGGAGCGAUCCGGUUUGGGGUGAGUUCGCGUCCGAUUAGCCAGUUGGCGGGGUAACGGCCCACCAAAGCGACGAUCGGUAGCCGACCUGAGAGGGUGAUCGGCCACAUUGGAACUGAGAGACGGUCCAAACUCCUACGGGAGGCAGCAGUGGGGAAUAUUGGGCAAUGGGCGAAAGCCCUGACCCAGCAACGCCGCGUGAGUGAAGAAGGCCUUCGGGUUGUAAAGCUCUGUUACAGGUGACGAAGGAAGUGACGGUAGCUUGUAAGGAAGCCCCGGCUUAACUACGUGCCAGCCGCCGC
rnacentral:rRNA from 1 species